UACGUAGGGGGCGAGCGUUAUCCGGAUUUACUGGGUGUAAAGGGAGCGUAGACGGCAAUGCAAGCCAGAUGUGAAAACCCGCAGCUCAACUGGGGGAGUGCAUUUGGAACUGUGUAGCUGGAGUGCAGGAGAGGUAAGCGGAAUUCCUGGUGUAGCGGUGAAAUGCGUAGAUAUCAGGAGGAACACCAGUGGCGAAGGCGGCUUACUGGACUGUAACUGACGUUGAGGCUCGAAAGCGUGGGGAGCAAACAGG
rnacentral:rRNA from 1 species